AUAGCUUUGUAGGUAAGGGAUAAUGCUAUUUUCCCUCCCCUGUUCGAUUUCUACCUUUUCAUCGCUCAUACAUUUUUCAUUCCUGACUUGUUUUGUAGAAAAUGGUCUUGCGAGCUGGUGGUGUGAAUCUUCCCGGAGUAGGGACAGGACCCACAACAACUGCAGAGACUCCAACCAAAGUUCUAUGCUUGACUGAGCUAAUUACUGCUGAUGAACCGAUGGAUGAUGGAGAGUAUGAGGAAAUUUUAGAGGACAUGAGGGAAGAAGGGGAGAAAUUUGGCAAUAAGAGCAAUAUAGAGGCAUAAAAUGUGAAUGAAGAAGGAAGAAUGCUUCCAGAUUGCAGAAAUGCAUCAAACCCUUAUCAUCAUUGUAGUGACUAUUGGUUUAGAGUAAUUGCUGAAGCUAAG